rnacentral:rRNA from 1 species
UAAUGAGGGGAGGAAAAGAAACUAACAAGGAUUUUCUUAGUAGCGGCGAGCGAAAAGAAAAGAGUUCAGCACUAAGUCACUUUGUCUUUAUGGCAAAUGUGAGAUGCAGUGUAUGGAAUGUCAAAUUUCUAGUAUGAGAAAUUAACGAUUUAAGUCCUUCUUAAAUGAGGCCAUUUACCCAAAGAGGGUGCCAGGCCCGUAUAACGUUAAUGAUUACUAGAUGGCAUUUCCAAAGAGUCGUGUUGCUUGAUAGUGCAGCACUAAGUGGGUGGUAAACUCCAUCUAAAACUAAAUAUAACCAUGAGACCGAUAGUAAACAAGUACCGUGAGGGAAAGUUGAAAAGAACUCUGAAUAGAGAGUUAAAUAGUACGUGAAACUGCUUAGAGGUUAAGCCCGAUGAACCUGAAUAUCCGUUAUGGAAAAUUCAUCAUUAUGAUUUUAAUAUUUAUAAUAUUAUAAUAAUGGUGUGCAUUUUUUCUAUAAAGGACAUUGUAAUCUAUUAACAUACAAAUAUUUAUCAUAAGAUCAAGGGCGUAAGUUUAUUCAAAUUAUUUUGCUUGCAAUUUAACAUAGAAUAAAUGUCUUUGAUUUGAUAAAGUGUUGAUAGAUUUAUUAUAUAUAGUGCUUAAAUAUUUAUAUUUUAUAAUAGCAUAUUAAUCAUUGAUUUUUAUGUUUAUUAUAUGCACUUAUAUGAUUAACAAUGCGAAAGAUUCAGGAUACCUUCGGGACCCGUCUUGAAACACGGACCAAGGAGUCUAACAUAUUUGCAAGUUAUUGGGAAUAAAAACCUAAUAGCGAAAUUAACAUAACUUAUUAAUGGGAUUAGUUUUUAGCCUAUUUAUAGUCUAUUAAUUCAAUCCCGGGGCGUUCUAUCAGUUAUGUAUAAUAAUAUUUAUAUUAUUUAUACCUCUAACUAGAGCGUACCUUGAGCAUAUAUGCUGUGACCCGAAAGAUGGUGAACUAUACUUGAUCAGGUUGAAGUCAGGGGAAACCCUGAUGGAAGACCGAAACAGUUCUGACGUGCAAAUCGAUUGUCAGAAUUGAGUAUAGGGGCGAAAGACCAAUCGAACCAUCUAGUAGCUGGUUCCCUCCGAAGUUUCCCUCAGGAUAGCUGGUGCAUUUAAAAAUUAUGUAAAAUAAUCUUAUCUGGUAAAGCGAAUGAUUAGAGGCCUUAGGGUCGAAACGACCUUAACCUAUUCUCAAACUUUAAAUGGGUAAGAACCUCACCUUUCUUGGUAUGAAGGUCGUGGUUGUGAUAUAAUGUGCCCAGUGGGCCACUUUUGGUAAGCAGAACUGGCGCUGUGGGAUGAACCAAACGUAAUGUUACGGUGCCCAAAUUAACAACUCAUGCAGAUACCAUGAAAGGCGUUGGUUGCUUAAAACAGCAGGACGGUGGACAUGGAAGUCGUAAUCCGCUAAGGAGUGUGUAACAACUCACCUGCCGAAGCAACUAGCCCUUAAAAUGGAUGGCGCUUAAGUUGUAUACCUAUACAUUACCGCUAAAGUAGAUGGUUUAUGUUCAAUUUCGGUUGGAUUAUAAACUUUGAAACUUUAGUGAGUAGGAGGGUACAAUGGUGAGCAUAGAAGUGUUUGGCGUAAGCCUGCAUGGAGCUGCCAUUGGUACAGAUCUUGGUGGUAGUAGCAAAUAAUCGAAUGAGACCUUGGAGGACUGAAGUGGAGAAGGGUUUCGUGUGAACAGUGGUUGAUCACGAGUUAGUCGGUCCUAAGUUCAAGGCGAAAGCCGAAAAUUUUCAAGUUAUAAUGAAAAGUAUAAAUAAUUUUACUUAGUAAUUAAACACUUGAAUAAUUUUGAACGAAAGGGAAUACGGUUCCAAUUCCGUAACCUGUUGAGUAUCCGUUUGUUAUUAAAUAUGGGCCUUGUGCUCAUCCUGGCAACAGGAACGACCAUAAAGAAGCCGUCGAGAGAUAUCGGAAGAGUUUUCUUUUCUGUUUUAUAGUCGUACUACCAUGGAAGUCUUUCGAAGAGAGAUAUGGUAGAUGGACUAGAAGAGCAUGACAUUUACUGUUGUGUCGAUAUUUUCUCCUCGGACCUUGAAAAUUUAUGGUGGGGUCACGCAAACUUCUCAACAGGCCGUACCAAUAUCCGCAGCUGGUCUCCAAGGUGAAGAGUCUCUAGUCGAUAGAAUA